rnacentral:rRNA from 1 species
UUAGAGUUUGAUCCUGGCUCAGAUUGAACGCUGGCGGCAUGCUUUACACAUGCAAGUCGAGCGGCAGCGCGGGGGCAACCCUGGCGGCGAGCGGCGAACGGGUGAGUAACACAUCGGAACGUAUCCCGUAGAGGGGGAUAGCCCGGCGAAAGCCGGAUUAAUACCGCAUAUGCUCUACGGAGGAAAGUGGGGGAUCGCAAGACCUCAUGCUCGUGGAGCGGCCGAUAUCUGAUUAGCUAGUUGGUGGGGUAAAGGCCUACCAAGGCAUCGAUCAGUAGCUGGUCUGAGAGGACGACCAGCCACACUGGGACUGAGACACGGCCCAGACUCCUACGGGAGGCAGCAGUGGGGAAUUUUGGACAAUGGGGGCAACCCUGAUCCAGCAAUGCCGCGUGAGUGAAGAAGGCCUUCGGGUUGUAAAGCUCUUUUGUCAGGGAAGAAACGGCGGAGGUUAAUACCUUCUGCUAAUGACGGUACCUGAAGAAUAAGCACCGGCUAACUACGUGCCAGCAGCCGCGGUAAGUCGGCCCAAUCGC